rnacentral:sRNA from 1 species
GCAUAACACUACAUGAGCGUGUUCCAUUUGCUUCUGGAGUCUCUCUAUUUCUCUCUCUCACAAAUCAGAAACCUAAACAUCUCUUCUCUCAAAAUCAACGAACCAUAACACGAUCUCGCUCAAAACCUGCAACCGCAACACGAAUCCAAAACAUUUCGAUUUCAAGUUGGCCUGCGGAGAUUUGAUUCAAAUUUAUGGAUUUGGGAUUUUGGUCUUUGAAAUGGAAAUGGGUGAGUUUGGGAAAUGGGUUGUCUGAAUCCAAAGCUAAAGACUUGAAAUGAAGGAGAUUUGAGUAGUUGGAGCAUUUCCCCAAAGUUUGAUUCACGAAGUUGGAAAGGCUCAAGAUGUUGAUGUCAAUAGGAUUGUGCUUUUUCCCAAAGUUCAGAUGCUUUGAAAGGAAUCAAAGGGCAAUUUAGAAAGCUUCACCAUUUUGGAGUGGUCCUUUAUAUAUGUUGAUGAUACUUCAAAUUGCGUUGGUGGUUAAAGAAGGGCUUUUUAUUUUUUUAUUUUUUUAAUACAGCAGUUAAAGAAAUUAUCAAUCAUAGAUUUACCGUGGACUUCGUUAGUAAAUCUUAAUCAUAAAUCAAAAUUUUCAUUUGUUUUCUAUUAAAAAGUUGAAUAUUCUGAUUAUGUGCAAUGAUGUAAUUAUCAAUUAUAAACAACAUGACGAUUUCUUAUAUGCACUGGAAAACUACUAUCCAAUAAAAUGAACAUAAUCGGAAGAUUUUCGUUAAAGUCCACUAAAAAUUAUAGAGAAAUCGAUCCAGAACUAACUAAAUAAAAGACAAAAGACAGUGUCAAAAUUGUAGGGUUGUUUUGUUCAUUCCAAGUUUCCGAGAGAUUUUUCAAUGUGACCGAUACACAGGUUGGUAUUCACGUGUCAUUAUACACAUAGUGAGAUAUGUGUGUUAA